AAAGCUGAAAAAGGUGGUGUAAAGGUGGUGUAAAAGACUAAAAGGGUAGUGUUAAUGUAUUGUGGUUACUUUUACUAAUCUUGCACUAGAGUUGUCAACUGGGCCGGGCCGGCCCAGCCCGAACCGGCCCAAGCCCGGUAUGGGCCGGCCCAGGACCAGCCCACUUGAUCGAAUGGGUUAGUUGGGCCGGGCCAGCCCUUUGAAAUGGGCUCCAUUUGGGCUAUUUAUCAAACCCAAGCCCGGCCCAGGACCAGGAUCGUUAGAAGCCCAGCCCAAGCCCGGCCCAGGACCAGGACCAGGCCCAGCCCAGGACCGGUCCAAGCCCAAUAAUUUAGGUUAAAUAUUAUUUAUAUAUUUAUUCCUCUUAUUCAAUAUUCAAUUCCCUACACAAUUUAGCAAUACUAAAAUAUUAAACCCAAUAAAAUAUUAAACCUAUUUAAAGCCCAAGGACCAUUUGUCAAAUAUAUAAAUAAGCUCAAAAUAAUUUAAAGAUAAUAAUUACAAAUUUAAAACAAUCUAAAAUUGAAAACUCAUUUGUACCCAACUGAAGCUCAUUCGAAGUACAACCCAGUAUAGGCCCAUCAUACUCGACCCAGCAUAAGCCCAUGUGAGGCCCGGCCCAUUUGAGGCCCAAGCCCACUAGACAUGUGGUCCUGAAUCGGGCUGGGUUCGAUAUUUUAUAAAAAGCCCGGCCCAGGACCGACCCAUUUCAAAUGUGGGCUUGGGCUGGGCUGGGCCUAACUCCUUACGGGCUCAACCGGGCCUGGGCCGGGCCGGGCUGGCCCAGCCCAGUUGACAACUCUAUCUUGCACUAACUAUUUGGCAUUAUUUUAUUAGGUGAAAAUUCAGAAAAUAAAUAUAUAAAUAAAAUGGAAAAUAAAUAAAUUGGAAAUAAAUAAAUAAAUAAGUAAAUAAACUGGAAAUAAAUAAACUGGAAAAUAAAUAAAC
rnacentral:lncRNA from 1 species